rnacentral:rRNA from 1 species
GACGAACGCUGGCGGCGUGCUUAACACAUGCAAGUCGAGCGGAAAGGCCACUUCGGUGGUACUCGAGCGGCGAACGGGUGAGUAACACGUGAGUAAUCUGCCCCUGGCUUUGGGAUAGCCACCGGAAACGGUGAUUAAUACCGGAUAUGACCACUUUACGCAUGUUUGGUGGUGGAAAGUUUUUCGGCCAGGGAUGUGCUCGCGGCCUAUCAGCUUGAUGGUGAGGUAAUGGCUCACCAUGGCUUCGACGGGUAGCCGGCCUGAGGGGGUGACCGGUCACACUGGGACUGAGACACGGCCCAGACUCCUACGGGAGGCAGCAGUGGGGAAUAUUGGACAAUGGGCGGAAGCCUGAUCCAGCAACGCCGCGUGAGGGAUGACGGCCUUCGGGUUGUAAACCUCUUUCGCCUGUGACGAAGCGCAAGUGACGGUAACAGGUAAAGAAGCACCGGCCAACUACGUGCCAGCCGCCGCAGUAA